CAAAAAUUCUCGAGUCGCGAGUUCGCGUAACCAUGUCACACCUGCAAAUUUGCUCGGGAGACACUGAUUCUAGUUCGUAGGUGGCACUGGUCAUCAGCGACUUCUUUACCGAGGUAUUCGCCAAUGGGAAUAACAGCCUGUGGAUAUGUUUUACCUUCGGAACUUGUUUCGUGCGCUCCAGCUUCCCGCAGUUCGAUGUGUUCACGUGUCCUUCGGCUCCCAAUCCCAGUCGUCAGAGAAUCUAUACGUAGGCCAAUAUUGUCGACGUUAUCGAUGUUGCCGAGAUCGAUGGGACUACCGAUGAUAUAUGGACCGGAUUGUUCUUGGGCACCAUCGUUGGUUUGACCGCUCACGGAUGAGGAACUGUUACGAACACCGCUGCUUUGUGGGAGUGUACCGUCCAUAUGAGGUAUAGAAGAAAGAUCCGGAGGUGUAAAUGGACGUAACGAGCCAGGGCUGGGAACCUGGGGACUCCCCCUGGCAGUUGGUUGCAUUGAACGCAGCGGGGCCUAAAUCAGAUCGAAUUCAUUAAUGUAGCUAAUGUUGGCUAUCUUUAGUAUUUAGCUUAAGGAGAAAAGUGUGUUAUACAUUUAGAUGACUCGUUUAUCGAAACAGUUAUUAAGUCAAUAGGAAAAUCGGGAUUCGAAUUAUCAUGGUAUGAUUUUAUGGUUUACCUAAAUUUUGAUUUUUAACCGAAUAUAUUGUAGAAUUUGUGAAUCAACAAAUGUCAACCAUAUUUUUAAUAUGAUAAGUAUUAUUUAUAUAUAUCUAUUAAAUUAUCCUAGAUCAAAUUAUCAUGAUUCGUAUCCCGAUUCGAUAAUGCAUUUUCUUCUCUUUGGUAUGUAAUAAUAAGACGGACAGAUACUUAAAACUACACAAAUAUAUCUAUUUUGAAAAUAAAACGAGGCGUAGGUGAAGAUUACGAUCAAGCGGUAAAAUACGAUCGUCUUUCGACGAACGUAAUUUGCGAUGAUGUAAUGCCAAUGUUAAGAAUAUACAAUGUAAAGACAUACAUAUUGUAGAGAUACAUAUUGUAAUAAUUCAUAUAAAUAAGAAUACACGUACGAACAACGUAAAAUAA